CCCAGACUUGUCUGCAUGUUGGAAUCACAUCCUGCACUGCAGCCCGGAUUCAGAUUUAAUUGGUCUAGAAUAUGGCAUGGGCUUUGGAAUCUGUAGAAGAUUUUCAGAUGUCUGGCCCAAACCAAGGAAAUGCCAUGUGAGAACAUAGCAAACAGAAGGCCAGCUACAAACCAGGAAGAGGUCCCUCACCAGAAUCCAGAUCUGCUGCCACCUUGAUAAUGGACUUGUUGCCUUCAGAACUGUACUGAAAUACACGUCUGUUGUUUAUGCCACCCAGUCUAUGGUAUUUUGUUAGAGCAGCCCUAACAGGCUGACACAAGACAUCACAAACAUAACUGAUCCUUGACUAUGUGUUUAGCAGUUAAUUAGUUUCUGGGAGGGAUACUGAAGAGUAUAAGGUUCCUUCCUAAGUACAACUUGCAAAAAUCUGUCAGUAUACUGAACCCUUCAACUAGAUAUACCCACUACAAAGAUCCAUUCAUUUAAGCAUAAAAGAAAUGUCAAACAAACAAGAACAUCUUGCUAUUAAAAAAUGCAGUCACACCAUCAAAUAGACAUUCACUCUCAUCUUUUAUAUGUCUUGUAUGUCAACAGUUUAGUAAAAUAUAAUUGAAACACGAAGUCAGAGGCUCUAUGAAAAUCAAAGAGAAUUUGAGUAUCUCUUAAGAUGC
rnacentral:lncRNA from 10 species